rnacentral:lncRNA from 1 species
GUAGUAUGUUCCUUGGAAAUAUUGAUUGUAUGGAAAAUUGCAUUGUUAGAGCUCUUAUGUACACAGUUUUUGCCAGAUUAUUAUGAAUCCUAUAUCAUAGGUCUAUAUCAGCAUUGUCUUUGACAAUUUUGAAAAUAAGUGCUGAUUAAAUAUUUUUAGCUAGUUAUCAUGGUUAUGCCCCUUGGAAAAAUUAAUCAUAACAGAAAUCGCAUUGCAUUUGGUCUGGCGCCUUCAUUUCUCUAAGAUAUUUAUAAAUUGUUUUAAAGAACAAAAAAAAGGUGUUUGUUUAGUUAUUGCACUUUGAUUUUUAAAUAUGUACAAUGCAGGGGACAUUGGAACUCUGUUCUAUUAUAUCAAAGUUUUCUUUACACAAAGAAAUGCUAUUAAAAUUGUUAGAAGCC